GUGUCAGCAGCCGCGGUAAGACAGAGGGUGCAAACGUUGUUCGGAAUUACUGGGCGUAAAGCGUGUGUAGGCGGCCGCGCAAGUCGGAUGUGAAAGCCCCAGGCUCAACCUGGGAAGUGCACCCGAUACUGCAUGGCUCGAGUACUGGAGAGGUUGGUGGAAUUCUCGGUGUAGAGGUGAAAUUCGUAGAUAUCGAGAGGAACACCGGUGGCGAAGGCGGCCAACUGGACAGAUACUGACGCUGAGACACGAAAGCGUGGGGAGCAAACAGGAUUAGAUACCCUCGUAGUCC
rnacentral:rRNA from 1 species